rnacentral:lncRNA from 1 species
AAAAGACCAGUCUCCUGCAGAAUCUUCGGAACCCACCAUUUAAUCAAAGUGAAGAAGCUAAAAAAGUAGCCCAGAAAAAAGGAAAGAAAGAAGGAAAAAAUAGAGGGGCGAGGAAGGAUGAUCAAGAAAACCCACCUGAGAACAAAGGUAAACAAUAGAAAAGUGAAACAGCAGAAAAAUACCUUCAAAAGCACUUCUGAGAGGUUGCAGCGAAGACGGAGCUGAAGAAAGACGAACUUGGCACGGGAGCAACCCAGACAAAGAGGACAGGAAAA